AUACAGGUGGUGCAUGGUUGUCGUCAGCUCGUGUCGUGAGAUGUUGGGUUAAGUCCCGCAACGAGCGCAACCCUCGUUCUAUGUUGCCAGCACGUGAUGGUGGGGACUCAUAGGAGACUGCCGGGGUCAACUCGGAGGAAGGUGGGGAUGAGGUCAAAUCAUCAUGCCCCUUAUGUCUUGGGCUUCACACAUGCUACAAUGGCCGGUACAAAGGGCUGCGAUACCGCGAGGUGGAGCGAAUCCCAAAAAACCGGUCUCAGUUCGGAUUGGGGUCUGCAACUCGACCCCAUGAAGUUGGAGUCGCUAGUAAUCGCAGAUCAGCAACGCUGCGGUGAAUACGUUCCCGGGCCUUGUACACACCGCCCGUCAAGUCACGAAAGUCGGUAACACCCGAAGCCGGUGGCCCAACCCUUGUGGAGGGAGCCGUCGAAGGUGGACUGGCGAUUGGAC
rnacentral:rRNA from 1 species